rnacentral:rRNA from 1 species
UAGCGGAGGAAAAGAAACCAACAGGGAUUGCCUUAGUAGCGGCGAGUGAAGCGGCAAAAGCUCAAAUUUGAAAUCUGGCACUUUCAGUGUCCGAGUUGUAAUUUGAAGAAGGUAUCUUUGGGUCUGGCUCUUGUCUAUGUUUCUUGGAACAGAACGUCACAGAGGGUGAGAAUCCCGUGCGAUGAGAUGUCCCAGACCUAUGUAAAGUUCCUUCGAAGAGUCGAGUUGUUUGGGAAUGCAGCUCUAAGUGGGUGGUAAAUUCCAUCUAAAGCUAAAUAUUGGCGAGAGACCGAUAGCGAACAAGUACAGUGAUGGAAAGAUGAAAAGAACUUUGAAAAGAGAGUGAAAAAGUACGUGAAAUUGUUGAAAGGGAAGGGCUUGAGAUCAGACUUGGUAUUUUGUAUGUUACUCUCUCGGGGGUGGCCUCUACAGUUUACCGGGCCAGCAUCAGUUUGAGCGGUAGGAUAAGUGCAAAGAAAUGUGGCACUGCUUCGGUAGUGUGUUAUAGUCUUUGUCGAUACUGCCAGCUUAGACUGAGGACUGCGGCUUCGGCCUAGGAUGUUGGCAUAAUGAUCUUAAGUCGCCCGUCUUGAACAA